AAUUUAAACAGUGUUCCCAGAAACUUUUGCUUGUCUGAUCGACACAGUGCCGUAAAAUUAUCGGUUUUUAGUAAAUAUU